UAGCCGUAAACGAUACUCGCUAGGUGUCGGCCACGGUGCGACCGUUGUCGGUGCCGUAGGGAAGCCGUGAAGCGAGCCACCUGGGAAGUACGGCCGCAAGGCUGAAACUUAAGGAAUUGGCGGGGGAGCACAACAACGGGUGGAGCUUGCGGUUUAAUUGGAUUCAACGCCGGAAAUCUUACCGGGACCGACAGCAACAUGAAGGCCAAGCUGAAGACUUUGCCGGAUUAGCUGAGAGGAGGUGCAUGGCGUAGUCGUGU
rnacentral:rRNA from 1 species